GCUGAGGUCUAUCCCGAUGGGCUCUCUGUAGACGUGGAAACGGCUCAGAGGAAUGCGGGGGUUCAGCUUCACUCACCGAGCUACCUGUUAGAGCUGUGAGAGGGAACUACAAGACAGAG
rnacentral:snoRNA from 1 species